rnacentral:rRNA from 1 species
GAUGAACGCUAGCGGGAGGCUUAACACAUGCAAGUCGAGGGGCAGCAUAGGGUAGCAAUACUCUGAUGGCGACCGGCAAACGGGUGAGUAACGCGUAUGCAACCUACCCUGUACAGGGGGAUAACCCGGAGAAAUUCGGACUAAUAUCCCGUAAUAAUAUCCGGAGGCAUCUUUGGAUAUUUAAAGUUCCGACGGUACGGGAUGGGCAUGCGUAACAUUAGCUGGUUGGUAAGGUAACGGCUUACCAAGGCUAUGAUGUUUAGGGGUCCUGAGAGGGUGGUCCCCCACACUGGUACUGAGACACGGACCAGACUCCUACGGGAGGCAGCAGUGAGGAAUAUUGGUCAAUGGGCGCAAGCCUGAACCAGCCAUCCCGCGUGCAGGAAGACGGCCCUAUGGGUUGUAAACUGCUUUUCCAGGGAGAGAAACUUACGCACGUGUUGCGUGACUGACGGUACCCUGGGAAUAAGCAUCGGCUAACUCCGUGCCAGCAGCCGCGGUAAAU